rnacentral:misc_RNA from 1 species
GCUAAGCAAUGGGUCCGUGAAACUGCGGCCCAAGCAGCCCAAACGGCUAAAGAGGCCGGCCAGGCUAUUCAGAGCAAGGCCCAAGAUGGUAUGAAGACCGAGGAAGUUGAAGCCGGCCCAGCCCAGGACGGGGGAAAGACUGAGGAAGUAAGCCCGGCCCAGGAAGGAGGGACGGCGCAAGCACAAGGUGCCGCAAAAGAGGAAACGGCCCAAGAACCGGUUAAGACUCAAGAAAGAGAGCAGGC